AAACAUCGCCUCCUGCAACGCACCACAUAUAGGAGGUCCAGCCUGCCCAGUGACUAUAGUUCAACGGCCGCGGUAUUUUGACCGUGCAAAGGUAGCGCAAUCACUUGUCUUUUAAAUAGAGACCUGUAUGAAUGGCCAAACGAAGGCUUAACUGUCUCCCCUUUCAAGUCAGUGAAAUUGAUCUACCCGUGCAGAAGCGAGUAUAAUUAUACAAGACGAGAAGACCCUUUGGAGCUUAAGGUACAAAAUUCAACCACGUCAAACAACUCAAUAAAAAGCAAGAACUUUGCGGAACAUGAACUUUUACCUUCGGUUGGGGCGACCACGGAGAAAAACAAAACCUCCAAGUGGAUUGGGAUAAUUUUCCUAAAACCAAGAGAGACAUCUCUAAGCCUCAGAAUAUCUGACCAAAAAUGAUCCGGUCACCAAGACCGAUCAACGAACCAAGUUACCCUAGGGAUAACAGCGCAAUCCUCUCCCAGAGUUCGUAUCAACGAGAGGGUUUACGACCUCGAUGUUGGAUCAGGACAUCCUAAUGGUGCAGCCGCUAUUAAGGGUUCGUUUGUUCAACGAUUAAAGUCCUACGUGA
rnacentral:rRNA from 1 species